UCCCCAGUUUCCCUUCAGGAAAGGCUCUGGGUGUCCCCACCAGCCCUGUUUUGGUUCCUGACUCCCCGAUUUCCCUGCAGGAGCCCCGGCAGUGCCUGGCAGGGGCGGCUGCCCGGCCCCACGGCUCGGGGACAGCCCCAGGGGCUGGGGCAGCUGCAGCGCUGGGAGAAGCUAGAGCAGAGGCAGCAGAAAAAGCUGGAGCAGCAGGAGCAGGAGCAUCUGGAGAUGGAGCAUCAGGAGAAGAGGCAGCAGAAAAAGCUGCAGCGUCAGGAACAGAAUCAACUGGAGCAGAGGAAGCAGAAAAAACUGAAACAUCUGGAGAUGGAGAAGCUGAAUCAGGUGGAGGAGAAGCAGCAGAAUCAUCUGGAGCAGAAUUACCUGGAACAGAGGAAGAAGAAGAAGAAGAAUAAGCUGGAGGAGAAUAAUCUCGAACAGAAUCAUCUGGAGCAGAGGCAGCAGAAAAAGCAGAAUUAUCUGGAGCAGAAUCAUCUGGAGCAGAAUUAUCUGGAGCAGAGGAAGCAGAAAAAGCAGAAUCAUCUGGAGCAGAAUCAUCUGGAGCAGAAUUAUCUGGAGCAGAGGAAGCAGAAAAAGCAGAAUCAUCUGGAGCAGAAUUAUCUGGAGCAGAGGCAGCAGAAAAAGCAGAAUCAUCUGGAGCAGAAUCAUCUUGAAGAGAAUCAUCUGGAGCAGAGGCAGCAGAAAAAGCCGAAGCUCCAGGAGCAGGAGCAUCAGCAGCAGAGGAAGCAGAAGAAACAGAACCAUCUGAAGCAGAACAAGCUGGGACAUCAGGAGCAGAAUAAUCUGGAAACGGAACAUCAGGAGCAGAACCCUGUGGAGCAGAGGAAGCAGGAGAAGCUGAAGCUCCAGGAGCACCAUGAGCAGAGGAGGCAGAAAAAACUGGAGCAUCUGGAGACAGAGCACCAGGAGCAGAGGAGGCAGAAAAAGCCAGAUAAGAGAGAGCAGAAGAAGCAGAAUUACCUGGAACAGAAUUAUUUGGAACAGAAUUGUCUGGAGCAGAAUUGUCAGGAAGAGAGGCAGCAGAAUCAUCUGGAGAUUCGGCACCAGGAGCAGAGGAGGCAGAAAAAGCCGGAUAAGAGACAGCAGAAGCAGAAUUAUCUAGAGCAGCAUGCCCUGGAGCAGAAUCUCCUGGAACAGAAUUACCUGGAGCAGAAUCAUCUGGAAAUAGAGCAGAGGAAGCAGAAAAAACUGGAUAAGAGACAGCAGAAGCAGANNNNNNNNNNAGAGCAGAGGAAGCAGAAAAAACUGGAUAAGAGACAGCAGAAGCAGAAUAAUCUGGAACAGAAUUGUCUGGAGCAGAAUCACCUGGAGACAGAGCAGAGGAAGCAGAAAAAGCUGGAUAAGAGACAGCAGAAGCAGAAUAAUCUGGAGCAGAGGCAGCAGAAUCACCUGGAGCAGAAUCACCUGGAGACUGAGCACCAGGAGCAGAGGAGGCAGAAAAAGCCGGAUCAGAGAUGGAAGGAUCAGAAUCCCCUGCAGCAGCCGCGCAGCGCGGCCCCCAGGAACUGCUCUCUGUCCCCGCUCCCCAAGAAGAAGAAGCAGCAGCAGGACAUGUGGUGA
ensembl:lncRNA